ACCUCUUUCAUCAAACAAGUACCCUGUGAUAGGUUUUCAAGAGCUAGUUAAAUCCACUAUAGUCUGCUAUUUUCUCCGUGGUUUAUAAGUUUUCAGUGAUGAUAUUUGGUUAUUUGUGGACGUCUAGGUGGUCACAUAAACCCAGCGGUGACGUUCGGGCUGUUCCUGGGUAGGAAGCUGUCCUUGACGAGGGCCGUCUACUACAUGGUGAUGCAGUGCCUGGGCGCCAUAUGCGGGGCCGGCGUGGUGAAAGGGUUCGAAAAGGCUAGCACGUUCGAGAGGCUGAACGGGGGCGCCAACUUCGUCGCCCAUGGCUACACCAAAGGCGACGGCCUCGGCGCCGAGAUCGUCGGUACCUUCGUGCUCGUUUACACCGUCUUCUCCGCC
rnacentral:lncRNA from 1 species